GGAGAGGUGGCCGAGUGGUUGAAGGCGCCGUUCUCGAAAAGCGGUAAUCCCUCUGGGAUUCGCGGGUUCGAAUCCCGCCCUCUCCG
rnacentral:tRNA from 1 species